CGAACCUGGCGGCGGCUCAACCAUGCAAGUCGAGCGCGCCUUCGGGUGAGCGGCGGACGGGUUAGUAACGCGUGGGAACGUGCCCUUCUCUACGGAAUAGCCUCUGGAAACGGAGAGUAAUACCGUAUACGCCCUUUGGGGGAAAGAUUUAUCGGAGAAGGAUCGGCCCGCGUUAGAUUAGGUAGUUGGUGGGGUAACGGCCUACCAAGCCUACGAUCUAUAGCUGGUUUUAGAGGAUGAUCAGCAACACUGGGACUGAGACACGGCCCAGACUCCUACGGGAGGCGGCAGUGGGGAAUCUUAGACAAUGGGGGCAACCCUGAUCUAGCCAUGCCGCGUGAGUGAUGAAGGCCUUAGGGUCGUAAAGCUCUUUCGCCUGUGAUGAUAAUGACAGUAGCAGGUAAAGAAACCCCGGCUAACUCCGUGCCAGCAGCCGCGGUAAUACGGAGGGGGUUAGCGUUGUUCGGAAUUACUGGGCGUAAAGCGCGCGUAGGCGGAUUAGAAAGUUGGGGGUGAAAUCCCGAGGCUCAAGCUCGGAACUGCCUCCAAAACUGCUAGUCUAGAGUUCGAGAGAGGUGAGUGGAAUUCCGAGUGUAGAGGUGAAAUUCGUAAAUAUUCGGAGGAACACCAGUGGGGAAAGCCGGUCACUGGCUCGAUACUGACGCUGAGGUGCGAAGUGUGGGGAGCAACAGGAUUAAUACCUGGUAGUCCAC
rnacentral:rRNA from 1 species